AUUGAACGCUGGCGGCAGGCCUAACACAUGCAAGUCGAACGAGCGGCGGACGGGUGAGUAAUGUCUGGGAAACUGCCUGAUGGAGGGGGAUAACUACUGGAAACGGUAGCUAAUACCGCAUACCAUCAGAUGUGCCCAGAUGGGAUUAGCUAGUGGGUGGGGUAACGGCGCACCUAGGCGACGAUCCCUAGCUGGGCUGAGAGGAUGACCAGCCACACUGGAACUGAGACACGGUCCAGACUCCUACGUGAGGCAGCAGUGGGGAAUAUUGCACAAUGGGCGCAAGCCUGAUGCAGCCAUGCCGCGUGUGUGAAGAAGGCCUUCGGGUUGUAAAGUACUUUCAGCGGGGAGGCGUUACCCGCAGAAGAAGCACCGGCUAACUCCGUGCCAGCCGCCGCGGUAAUUC
rnacentral:rRNA from 1 species